UACAGAGAGUGCGAGCGUUGUCCGGAAUCACUGGGCGUAAAGGGCGCGUAGGUGGUGGCUUAAGCGUGCGGUGAAAGCUCGGAGCUCAACUCCGAGUCGGCCGUGCGAACUGGGCUCACUGGAGCAUAGUAGAGGCAGGUGGAAUUCCGGGUGUAGCGGUGGAAUGCGUAGAGAUCCGGAAGAACACCGGUGGCGAAGGCGGCCUGCUGGGCUAUGGCUGACACUGAGGCGCGACAGCGUGGGGAGCAAACAGG
rnacentral:rRNA from 1 species